rnacentral:rRNA from 1 species
AUUGAACGCUGGCGGCAUGCCUUACACAUGCAAGUCGAACGGCAGCACGGGAGCAAUCCUGGUGGCGAGUGGCGAACGGGUGAGUAAUGUAUCGGAACGUGCCCAGUCGUGGGGGAUAACGUAGCGAAAGCUACGCUAAUACCGCAUACGAUCUACGGAUGAAAGCGGGGGAUCGCAAGACCUCGCGCGAUUGGAGCGGCCGAUAUCAGAUUAGGUAGUUGGUGGGGUAAAGGCUCACCAAGCCGACGAUCUGUAGCUGGUCUGAGAGGACGACCAGCCACACUGGGACUGAGACACGGCCCAGACUCCUACGGGAGGCAGCAGUGGGGAAUUUUGGACAAUGGGCGAAAGCCUGAUCCAGCAAUGCCGCGUGCAGGAUGAAGGCCUUCGGGUUGUAAACUGCCUUUGUACGGAACGAAACGGCGAACUCUAAUACAGUUUGCUAAUGACGGUACCGUAAGAAUAAGCACCGGCUAACUACGUGCCAGCAGCCGCCGUAA